rnacentral:rRNA from 1 species
CAGUAGCCACGGGAAUACGUAGGUGGCAAGCGUUGUCCGGAAUUAUUGGGCGUAAAGGGCUCGCAGGCGGUUUCUUAAGUCUGAUGUGAAAGCCCCCGGCUCAACCGGGGAGGGUCAUUGGGAACUGGGAAACUUGAGUGCAGAAGAGGAGAGUGGAAUUCCACGUGUAGCGGUGAAAUGCGUAGAGAUGUGGAGGAACACCAGUGGCGAAGGCGACUCUCUGGUCUGUAACUGACGCUGAGGAGCGAAAGCGUGGGGAGCGAACAGGAUUAGAUACCCGCGUAGUCCCUGUCUCUUAUAC